GCGGUGGAUGAUGUGGAUUAAUUCGAUGCAACGCGAAAACCUUACCUACGCUUGACAUGUCAGGAACCUCGAAGAGAUUUGAGGGUGCCCGAAAGGGAACCUGAACACAGGUGCUGCAUGGCUGUCGUCAGCUCGUGUCGUGAGAUGUUGGGUUAAGUCCCGCAACGAGCGCAACCCUUAUCAUUAGUUGCUACGCAAGGGCACUCUAAUGAGACUGCCGGUGACAAACCGGAGGAAGGUGGGGAUGACGUCAAGUCCUCAUGGCCCUUAUGCGUAGGGCUUCACACGUCAUACAAUGGUCGGUACAGAGGGUUGCCAACCCGCGAGGGGGAGCCAAUCCCACAAAGCCGAUCGUAGUCCGGAUUGCAGUCUGCAACUCGACUGCAUGAAGUCGGAAUCGCUAGUAAUCGCGGAUCAGCAUGUCGCGGUGAAUACGUUCCCGGGUCUU
rnacentral:rRNA from 1 species